GCAUAUCAAUAAGCGCAGGAAAAGAAACCAACAGGGAUUGCCUCAGUAACGGCGAAGUGAAGCGGCAACAGCUCAAAUUUGAAAUCUGGCCUCUUGGGGUCCGAGUUGUAAUUUGUAGAGGAUGUUUCGGGUACCGCCUCGGUUUAAAUUUCUUGGAACAGAAUGUCAAAGAGGGUGAGAAUCCCGUCUUGGACCGGCGGUAGGGCCUAUGUGAAACUCCUUCGACGAGUCGAGUUGUUUGGGAAUGCAGCUCAAAAUGGGUGGUAAAUUUCAUCUAAAGCUAAAUAUUGGCCAGAGACCGAUAGCGCACAAGUAGAGUGAUCGAAAGAUGAAAAGCACUUUGAAAAGAGAGUUAAACAGUAUGUGAAAUUGUUGAAAGGGAAGCGCUUGCAACCAGACUUGAGCGCGGCGGUUGCUUCUGCUUGGGUUACUCCGCCGUGUCCAGGCCAACAUCGGUUCUGGGGGUCGGUCAAAGGCUCUGGGAAUGUAUCUACCCACGGGUAGACUUAUAGACCAGGGUGUCAUGCGACCUCCCGGGACCGAGGAACGCGCUUCGGCUCGGAUGUUGGCGUAAUGGUUGUCAGCGACCCGUCUUGAAACACGGACCAAGGAGUCUAACAUCUAUGCGAGUGUUUGGGUGUCAAACCCGGAACGCGGAAUGAAAGUGAACGGAGGUAGGAAGCUUCGGCUGCACUAUCGACCGAUCCUGAAGUUUACGGAUGGAUUUGAGUAAGAGCAUAGCUGUUGGGACCCGAAAGAUGGUGAACUAUGCCUGAAUAGGGUGAAGCCAGAGGAAACUCUGGUGGAGGCUCGCAGCGGUUCUGACGUGCAAAUCGAUCGUCAAAUUUGGGU
rnacentral:rRNA from 1 species